CAGGUGCUCUUGAGGCGGAUGGGGGCAGCUCUUUAGAUGUUGCAAGUCCCCUCCCUUCAGUCGCUCUGACUGGCUUACUGUAGCAUAAUGGCAUUCCACAUCAGACUCCUCGUCUGUCCGCAGCCCCUUCCGUGAGCCGAGGAGCCUAACCGGACACGCUCUUCUGGACACAGCACUGUUGCUUCUAGACUGUUCAUCUGGACUGGGAGGUGAGGGGUGCUGAGUUUAACAGAGAAGGCUCUCUUCCUCCUCUAAGGGCUGACCCUGAGCAGCCGUUCCAGCCUUCUGUGCACCGGGGACUGGCUUGGCUCGCUUACAUCAUGCAGGGUCGGCUGAGUGCAUCUCCCAUCUGGAGAAGCCUUUGAGGCCACGGCGCCUGAGCUGAAGAGCCGCCUCAGCUUAGCUCUUGACGCCUGCUGCUGUUUGGAUACUCCAACCUUUUAGGAAGGUCGUUCGAUUCACUCAGCUUCAGUUACCACCAUCCUUGAGCGAGCGAGUGAAUGGGCCGCUGCAUGCAGUCUCACAACUUGAACUCAGGUAGCAUAAGGAGGGGAUGACCCAGAAGAUAAACACAAGUUUGGUGAGGGCCUGACCUAUAUUGUCCAAGUGGCUUGGUGCAGGCAUGGGGUGGGAUGGACUCCCACACCUCGAAGCCUGUGGGACAGGAGCAUAGCGGAUGUCCUCUGCUGGCUCCUGCUACAUGCUUCAUAAAAUAGACUUAUCUAUACUUUUAGGAAUCCCUUCCCAGUGUGCAAGUCUAGAGAACUCCCCUGGUACACACCUCUCCUUGUCCUCAUGCAUUUGGGAGUGGCUCCUCGCCACCUGGGACCCUUGAAGUUAGCAGCUGGUUCUUCUCCACUUUUUCUGGCACUUCCCCGGCCAUGUGCUCAGCCCACAGGGAGCCCAAGAAAUCCUUGUUCACUGGCUGAGAUGCGGAGAUAUCUGGCUGCCAGGAGAGUCUACGAGAGACAGUAGAGCCGCCAUCUUGCCUUUUCCUGAUGAGGAUGCAGCCGUUCUUUGUCCCUCUGCAAAGGCCAAGACAGGCUUUCAUUACUGUGCUCAUGCUACCCAGAGAGACACCUGAGGAGACCGUCCUCUCCAGGAGACACCUAGAGUGGGUGUUCCAGCCACUUCCUCCAGCCUCUGACCCCCAAGAAGGCCGUGGGUACCUGUCACAGAUGCAGCUGCUCUGGCGGAGGCACUGUCCACUGUGCCUCACCCUUCCUGACUGUGCAGGUGACAGGAGACCGCGUGGACAGUUGGCACACUGGGGCACCCCUUGAAAACAUGCCUUCUCUCACGAACGGCCUAAAACACCCUUUAAAAGCUGCCGUGUGUGAAAAGCCCGUAUCCUGCAUGAAGACCACAGCAAUGUUUGCUGGAGGGAUGCAGUGCAGACAGAGCCACAAAGGAAGCCACAGGGGUCUUCAAAGAGGCCAUGAAACUCAAGCCACUCUGUGUCAGAAAAGCCAUCGCCCUUAAUUCUUCUUGCCUUUGACAUGGAAUAGCGGGAACAGCAGGAGGGUAUGUAUGUUGAUGAUGCCUGCAUGGAAGACCUGAAGUGGCAUGGUGGGCUUGGGGAGGUCCAGGCCAGUGUGUAUGAGAGACCAACAACCAGAAAGAGACUUGAGUUUUACCUCAUCGUGCCUUCUGGCAAUGUCUGGCAUCAAGCUGACUGUAGUGGGUAGCCAUUCCAGCUUGGAUCUGGAAGUUCCAACCCCCAUUGAGACUCCGGCAACUGU